rnacentral:lncRNA from 1 species
AGCAAGAAAAAUUCAUGGCGGUAACCUCAGAACACAACAUCGCCAUAUGAAAUAAAAUAUAAUAUGAUCAAUAAAACGCCGCGCCCUCUAAACAUGAUUAAAUGACAGUUUCAAACGUUCAUCAUGCAAUAUCCAACUUCGACGCCACAGUCAAUUAGCAGUAGCACGAUACAUGCCAUAUCAUUACAAACUUUCAAACACAGGAAACAUAUUUUAAAAUCUAAACAUAAUGCAAUGAACUCAAAUCACACAAUAGCAGGGAUGUAAUGUAAACUAAGACCAAUCAACGCUUUCUGAUAACAAUCCAACACAUAUGUGGAAGAAAAUUGGCAACAAUCGCAGUAGAAAAUAAUCGCGGCAACCCCGCCAUUCAACCAAUACCGAAAUACACGAUGAAUGAGCAAUAUAAUCCAAUUAUUUAUGUAUAAAAAACUUAACAUUGAACAAUAUGGUAAUCGAUUCGUUACCGUCGGCGACUGUUAUCGUGUUGUGUUGAACUCGCUAUUGCUGUGUGUCAGUCAAUGCUUCGUGGCUGCUCCGUGUUCCGUUUACACCGUCACGUAUCGCGAUCUCGAACUGAAUAAAAACCCCUUCGCAACACUUUCUACUAAAAAAUGGGAGACGUGAGGCCGUCGUUAUUGGUUGAGGAGGGUUGGGUUUGUGGAUUCGGACGGUUAAGCUUCAUAGGAAGAUGACGGCGGCGCGAUGACUCGGCGACGCUCAGAAAUCAUGGUGGCGUGGAAGGAGACGCGGCGAGGGAUUGUUUGAAGGCUUUGAGCGCUCACCGACGUGUGGUAUGGUGGUUCGAUUUGUGAAAAAUGGUGGUUGUGAGUUGCGAAGGUGACGGAGGUGGAGAAGGAGAUGAUUUGGGGGCGACGACGAAGUGAAGAAGUUUUGUCACCGGUGAAGGUGGUUUAUAGUUUGCGGUGAUGGAUGAGGAAGGAAGGGAUCGAAGAUGGUAUGGUCUGUUAUUGAGGCGAUGGGAGGAAGGAGCGUGAAGAGGGAAGGUGGAUUUUGUGAUGGAAACACAUGUGUGGAAGAAGAAGCAAUCCGUUACAGUGAAAUGUGUUUUUCUUUAUUUCUUUUUUUUGUCGUUAUAUUGUGAGAGAGUUUUUUUCUCCUCUGUGUUGUGAGUUGUGUGUGUUAUUAAAUAAGGGGAUAGAGAAAGAUUUUAAGUAUGGUCAACGUGAAUGACAAGGUGAUAGGUGGCGUGUAGGUGAG